rnacentral:rRNA from 1 species
CCUACGGGAGGCAGCAGUGGGGAAUUUUCCGCAAUGGGCGAAAGCCUGACGGAGCAACGCCGCGUGAGGGAUGAAGGCCUCUGGGCUGUAAACCUCUUUUAUCAAGGAAGAAGAUCUGACGGUACUUGAUGAAUAAGCCACGGCUAAUUCCGUGCCAGCAGCCGCGGUAAUACGGGAGUGGCAAGCGUUAUCCGGAAUUAUUGGGCGUAAAGCGUCCGCAGGCGGUCUUGUAAGUCUGUCGUUAAAGCGUGGAGCUCAACUCCAUUUCGGCGGUGGAAACUACAAGACUAGAGUGUGGUAGGGGCAGAGGGAAUUCCCGGUGUAGCGGUGAAAUGCGUAGAUAUCGGGAAGAACACCAGUGGCGAAGGCGCUCUGCUGGGCCAUAACUGACGCUCAUGGACGAAAGCUAGGGGAGCGAAAGGGAUUAGAUACCCCUGUAGUCCUAGCCGUAAACGAUGAACACUAGGUGUCGGGGGAAUCGACCCCUCGGUGUCGUAGCUAACGCGUUAAGUGUUCCGCCUGGGGAGUACGCACGCAAGUGUGAACUUAAUGAAUUGACCGGNNGNGAGNGCGAGCGACACGAGGAGAG